rnacentral:lncRNA from 1 species
AUCGCUUCCAUCUUUACGUGAGUCUUGGAAAUGGUUCAGCACCAUGACGUCCGCCGAAGACGUAGGUGUAGACGAGGAACAAAAGAGAAGACCCCUCGUGGAGGUGGCCUGUGGGGCCCGCCCUCCUCGGGCGCCUGUCGUCGUCUGUCCCUGACUCCGCUCCCCCCGGCGGCCGCAGCGAGUGCGCCCCGCGAUGCAGCGGGCUGUGGAGGGAGCCUCCAUGGAGUCUCCAUCAACCAUUGAGGACCAGGAGACGGUGGCAGGCGGUAGAGAGGCCUGGGCAGGGCCAGCGCCCCGGGCUGCGGAGCACAGGACGGCGGCGCCCAAGGACGCCCCAGGGCAGGCCUCAGCCCCUCCAACCGGUGGGAGCCCAGCUCCAGGGGAGCCCGCAGCUCCCUCCAUCUUGGUUGAUGGAGGCGGGGAGCUGCGUCUGGGUCUCUCCACCGUCGUGCCCGUCCCCUGUGGCCCCGCGGACGCAGACGCCAGCAGCCGGGGUUGUUCCCUUGGCCGAAUGGCAGAGUCCAGUUGGGGCUUCCCGAGGACAAGUUUCCCGGCCCCACGGGGUUUGGUUUUUAGGGGGUCCCAAGUUCCCACAGUCGUUCCGACAAAAUGGAGGACGUCGUCUCCUCCUGCUGCAGCCAUGGCGGGAGGUGGGGGACUAUUCCCCACGGGGCGCGGCGAGGGUGGAAGGGCCUCCACUGCCCCCAGCGCGGUCGGGAUUCCAGUUCACCCGCGGUCCCGAAAGCCCACUCGGACCCGCUCCAGCGCCUCCCCGGC